rnacentral:rRNA from 1 species
GACGAACGCUGGCGGCGUGCUUAACACAUGCAAGUCGAACGGAAAGGCCCUGCUUUUGUGGGGUGCUCGAGUGGCGAACGGGUGAGUAACACGUGAGUAACCUGCCCUUGACUUUGGGAUAACUUCAGGAAACUGGGGCUAAUACCGGAUAGGAGCUCCUGCUGCAUGGUGGGGGUUGGAAAGUUUCGGCGGUUGGGGAUGGACUGGCGGCUUAUCAGCUUGUUGGUGGGGUAGUGGCUUACAAAGGCUUGGACGGGUAGCCGGCCUGAGAGGGUGACCGGCCACAUUGGGACUGAGAUACGGCCCAGACUCCUACGGGAGGCAGCAGUGGGGAAUAUUGCACAAUGGGCGGAAGCCUGAUGCAGCAACGCCGCGUGCGGGAUGACGGCCUUCGGGUUGUAAACCGCUUUCGCCUGUGACGAAGCGUGAGUGACGGUAAUGGGUAAAGAAGCACCGGCUAACUACGUG